rnacentral:lncRNA from 1 species
GCACAAGUCCAUGUGCUGAACCUCAGGGUUACAUCUUCAACAGUGCCUGGCUCUAAACAGAUUUACACAAUGAAAAUUAAAUGCCUCUAAAGAGAGAGAACAUAGAAGAUUAUUGAGACCAUGUUGGACUGAAACAGCUCCAGAAGUCAAUUCUUUCCACUCAGUUUAGAUAACAUCUUAGCUAUUCUCUCAUCAAUGUUAGUCAACUCUGGAGGAGUUAUCCUCAGAGAUGCCUAGGCUAGAGAUGUGAAAUUUACCACCUUGUAGGUGCCUGAGGUUCUCUAUCUGUCAUAAAUAUGCCUCAAAUUCAUGCAAAUAUUCAAUAUUUUUUUUCUAUGGUAUUCCAUAUGGUACUCUCCCCUGGAGUAAAUGCUGUGGACUGGCUCAUGUUUCUCCACUUCCAAUCUGUACUCUCUUUUGAAGAGUGACUAUACAUGGAUAACCAGUGAUUCUGACCGACGGAGUUCAUCAAGGCUUUACGCUCAAAAUCUUACUGUUUCACUGGUCUGAUUCACUCCCAUACACCGAAAAGCUCUCUUCAACUUGGAAUUCAGGCUUGGGUACUCGAAGAGCCUGUAUCAGCCAAAUUGUAAAGACAACAGGAGAUCUCAACCAAAAGAGAGAAGUUCAAAGGAUUUCUGAUGUUUCCUAUGCAAAGGAAAACGUUUCCUAUGCAAAGACUAUCAUUCAGUUAUUCUUCACUCAUAAACCAUUACAGGUGAACUACGGAUGCCAGCAAGAACAUGAUGCCUGGAUUCAAAUAUUUUAUAGCUUUUAA